GAUGAACGCUGGCGGCGUGCCUAAUACAUGCAAGUCGAGCGAAUGGAUUAAGAGCUUGCUCUUAUGAAGUUAGCGGCGGACGGGUGAGUAACACGUGGGUAACCUGCCCAUAAGACUGGGAUAACUCCGGGAAACCGGGGCUAAUACCGGAUAACAUUUUGAACCGCAUGGUUCGAAAUUGAAAGGCGGCUUCGGCUGUCACUUAUGGAUGGACCCGGGUCGCAUUAGCUAGUUGGUGAGGUAACGGCUCACCAAGGCAACGAUGCGUAGCCGACCUGAGAGGGUGAUCGGCCACACGGGGACUGAGACACGGCCCAGACGCCUACGGGAGGCAGCAGUAGGGAAUCUUCCGCAAUGGACGAAAGUCUGACGGAGCAACGCCGCGUGAGUGAUGAAGGCUUUCGGGUCGUAAAACUCUGUUGUUAGGGAAGAACAAGUGCUAGUUGAAUAAGCUGGCACCUUGACGGUACCUAACCAGAAAGCCACGGCUAACUACGUGCCAGCAGCCGCCGUAA
rnacentral:rRNA from 1 species